ACGGUAGCGAUUGGGUGAGAGAGAGGGAAAAGGAGAUCGGGGGGUUACUCCCGAAUUGCCACACGCAGCCUUCUCUCCCCCAGAAACGCCGCCGCCGCAGCCGCCGUCUCCUCAUCUCGUUUCUUUCAGCCGCCGCCAGAUCUGGGGAGCCACCGGGAGGAGAACAACCAGCCAGACGCCACCCCCGUCGACCUAACCCGCAUCUCCCUCGCGCCCAUCGUCCCCUCUUGGCGCCCCCGCCUCUCCUCUCCCCCAUUCUCCUGCCGCAUCCCAUCCCCUGCUCUGCCCUUGCUCCUCCGCCGUUCGAGUUGAGUCGUUGCUGCAGAGAGCGCCGCCUUCACUCUCCCAGGCCUUCUCCCCAUCCGCGACGUCGGCACACGGUGCGGGCAAGCUGUGGCGUGUCGUCGCCGUGCUGGGUUGGCCGGCCGGUGCCGCGCGGAUCCGGUUGGACGAGGUCGUUGGCGACCUGCCGCGGGAGGGGGACAGCGGGAUCUGCGCCAGGAGGUCCAGGGCACGUUGCUGCCGCUCGUGCAGCAGAACGACGGCCUCACCGACGCGUCCGGGGAGAACUGCGUUGGCCUGGUCUUGUAAUGGGCAGGUGAAGUCAUUUUUAUGGGAUGCAAUAGUUCUUCGUCCACUUCCACUGUCCCAAAAACAGUACGCCCCCAUCUUUGGUGUGGUUUAUGCAUUAUUAUCAUGCUGAAGUCAACAGUUCUCACUUUUGUUGAAGUCAACAGCUCUCAGUUUUGCUGAUUUGGUGUGAUGGAAUGUAAAUAUCGAACAGCAGCAGCCCGCACCCGAGGUGCAGAGCAGCUAGAACCAGUGAUAAUCGUGAGAUCCUGCGGACAACGAUGGAGCUUCUUAAUCAGCUGGAUGGAUUUUAUAAGCUUAGCAAGAUUUUUGGAAGGUUGAAGGUGGAAUCGAACUCCGAGCUCGAGGUUGCGCUGGUGCAGUGGUGGCUGCGAUCGGGCCCGAUCUAGGAAAAAUCUUCCUCGUUUUUGGUCUGCAUGGCGAUGAUCUGUUUCUUCAGGAUCCGCUCGUUGCCAGAGCUGGCUCGGGACGCCUCCUAGACGACGACACAAGCUUGAAGCGAGCGGAACACUGAAGGAGGAUCUCGGGGAUGAAGGAAGCGUCAGCGACGACCUCAGGCGAGAGGUAAUACUAGAGCUGGCGUGGGAACAUCAGUAAGGGCUUGGAGCCUGUCAAAGAGGAGGCAAAGAGGACACUGCUGAUGAAACAUGAGGCCGAGACAAAAACAAAUGCCUAUUGGCUCAGUUUGCUAACCCAUAUGCAGUCUGCAUUCGUGCCGAGAAAGGUAUUCUAUAUGUGAGGCUUAUAAGUGCAUAUUCUAUGGGAAACUAGAACAGUAAUAAACCAACUCUCCAAGCCCUGGUUUCAUGGACACUCCAUGUCCAUUGUCCGUGUGCCACUUCUACCGUGGUGAACUAUACGUAGUUACUCUGACUAGAUUUUCUUGAUGCAAGUUUUCUAGACGAACUUUUGAAAGCCUGCUGACCCACGACCAUCUCGAUGAUAGUUAUGAUCACGUAAUUCUGGUUUGAGAAGUUUGUUGUUAUAUCAAAAAGUUCCAGGGGUUGCCAACGAUCUUUUUUGAAUGAUCAUGUGAAAUGC